AUGAACAAUGUAACAGAAUUCAUCCUGCUGGGCCUCACUCACAAUCCAGAACUGCAGAAAUUCCUGUUUGUUAUGUUUUUAAUCACCUACUUGAUCACACUGGCAGGUAACCUGCUCAUCUCAGUCAUCAUCUUCAUCAGCCCAGCCCUGGGUUCCCCCAUGUACCUUUUUCUGUCCUAGUUAUCCAUUAUAGAUAUUUUCUACUCUUCUUCCAUAGCCCCUAAAAUGAUCUUUGACUUGAUCUCUGAAAACAACACCAUAUCCUUCAAUGGCUGCAUGACUCAGCUCUUCACAGAACAUUUCUUUGCGGCAGCUGAGACCAUCUUAUUAAGUGUCAUGGCCUACGACUGCUAUGUGGCCAUCUGUAAGCCCUUGCACUAUGCAACCAUCAUGACCCAAUCUAUGUGUGGAUUCCUGAUGGUGGUGGCUGGAAUUCUGGGAUUUGUGCAUGGAGGAAUCCAGACUUUGUUCAUAGCCCAGUUACCAUUCUGUGGCCCCAAUGUCAUCGACCACUUUAUGUGUGAUUUAGUACCUCUUCUGGAGCUGGCCUGCACAGACACUCACACUUUAGGGCCUCUGAUUGCUGCCAACAGUGGGUCACUGUGUUUCCUCAUUUUUUCCAUACUGGAUGCUUCCUAUGUCAUCAUCUUGUGCUCCCUAAGGUCUCAUAGCUCUGAAGGGCAUCUCAAAGCUCUGUCUAGUUGUGCCUCUCAUAUCUUCACUGUCAUCUUAUUCUUUGUCCCUUGUUCAUACCUGUAUCUAAGACCUCUAACCUCCUUCCCCACUGACAAAGCUGUGACUGUGUUUUGCACCCUAUUUACACCUAUGUUGAACCCUUUAAUCUACACUGUCAAAAAUAAAGCAGUGAAAAAUGUCAUUAAGAAGCUCUGGAAGCAAAUAAUGACAACUGAUGAUAAAUAA